UCGGGCCGGCGCGGGGCGGUGGCGGCCAUGCAGGCGGCGGCGCAGGGCUCGAAGGCGGCGGCGCAGGAACUGGUGAAGUUCGUGAACCGCAGUCCGUCUCCGUACCACGUGGUGGCCGAAUGCCGCAGCCGGCUACUGCAGGCCGGCUUCCAGGAGCUGAAGGAGACGGAGCACUGGGACGUGCUGCCGGCGCAGAAGUACUUCAUCACCAGGAACUACUCCACCCUCAUCGCCUUUGCCGUCGGCGGCCAGUUCCAGCCCGGGAAUGGGUUCAGCCUGCUAGGAGCCCACACCGACAGCCCCUGCCUCAGGGUGAAGCGUCGCUCAAAGCGGGGACAGGUGGGCAUAGUGCAAGUCGGAGUGGAGACCUAUGGAGGGGGCAUCUGGAACACCUGGUUCGACCGUGACCUCACCGUGGCCGGGAGGGUGAUCAUAAAGGACCAAGCCACGGGGCGCCUGGAGCAGCGCCUGGUACGUGUGGAGCGGCCCAUCCUCCGCAUUCCUCACCUGGCCAUCCAUCUGCAGCGCAGCAUCAAUGAGAGCUUUGGGCCCAACACCGAGCACCACCUGGUUCCCAUUCUGGCCACUGCAGUGCAGGAGGAGCUGGAAAAGGAGGUGCUUAUGGAGUCCACACCUUGCAGUGCUGCGUCCCAGACAGAGCGGCACAGCCCUGUUCUGCUUUCCCUGAUCUGCCCCCAGCUGGGGGUGAAACCAGAGCAGAUUGUGGAGAUGGAGCUAUGCCUGGCAGAUACACAGCCAGCGACGCUGGGUGGUGCCUUCGAUGAGUUCAUCUUCUCCCCACGUCUGGACAACCUGCACAGCUGCUACUGCGCCUUGCAGGCCUUGAUUGACUCGUGUGCAGCACCCUCGUCCCUCUCCGAGGAGCCCAAUGUGCGUCUCAUCGCGCUCUAUGACAACGAGGAGGUAGGGUCAGAGAGUGCACAGGGUGCAGAGUCCUUGCUAACGGAGCUGGUGCUGCGCCGGAUCUCUGCGUCGCCGCACAACCUGACAGCCUUCGAGGAGGCAGUGGCCAAGUCCUACAUGAUCAGUGCUGAUAUGGCCCAUGCUGUGCACCCCAAUUAUGUGGACAAGCAUGAGGAGAAUCAUCGUCCAGCCUUCCACAAGGGCCCUGUCAUCAAGGUGAACAGCAACCAGCGCUACGCCUCCACAGCUGUCACUGAAGCUGUGAUCCGGGACAUUGCUGCCCGCGUGGGUGUCCCUCUGCAGGUGAGCCGGACUGGGUGAGCCCUCCUUGAACAUCAGGAGUUUGGGCUGCAGCCCUGCCCCUGGGUUCAUCAGAGGGGGCCUGUGCCCAAGCUCCACCCCUGUUACCAUGUCUGACCCCACUGGGGUCUCUGUGCUGCCUGUUGCUGUGAGGCUCCAGCCCCAGGACUGCCUCAGGGAGCAGGCUGGUGAGCAGAAUGGAGCCUGGCCUGAGCGUGUCCUAUCUCUGGAGCGUUCUUUGAACCCUGGCAUGGGAGUUCAUGGUGCGCAACGACACACCCUGCGGCACCACCAUCGGCCCCAUCCUGGCCUCCCGCCUGGGGCUGCGUGUGCUGGACAUUGGCUGCCCCCAGCUGGCCAUGCACUCCAUCCGGGAGAUGUGCUGCACCUCGGG